GAUGAACGCUGGCGGCGUGCCUAAUACAUGCAAGUCGAACGCACAGCGAAAGGUGCUUGCACCUUUCAAGUGAGUGGCGAACGGGUGAGUAACACGUGGACAACCUGCCUCAAGGCUGGGGGAUAACCAUUUGGAAACAGAUGCUAAUACCGAAUAAAACUCAGUGUCGCAUGACACAAAGUUAAAAGGCGCUUUGGCGUCACCUAGAGAUGGAUCCGCGGUUG
rnacentral:rRNA from 1 species